rnacentral:lncRNA from 1 species
GAGUACAUGAGAGUGGGGAGGGUUAGAGAGAGAAAUAGGCCCCUCGCCGAGCAGGGACCCGAUGCGGGACUCAAAGCCGGGACUCCAGGAUCAUGACCCAAGCCAAAGGCAGUCGCUUAACCAACUGAACCACCCAGAAGCCCGGGACCCGCAUGCUUUUAAAUACAAUCCAGCCUCUCGGUGCGACAGCCAACACUUCCACCCUAGGAAGGCGACGGGGUGUCCUGGGAAUUCUGGGAAGUGUAGUCCGGGAACACAGCGCCGCAGGAUAACUUCCGCUGUAGGAGGCCGAGGCUGCGUCCCUGCUCCCGUCGGGAAUUCUGGGAAGCGUAGUCCAAGAGCUCACUGUCGGCAGAGUCGCUUCCGCUCCAGGUACGCGAGGCCGCGGCCUUCAUUACUCUGCGAAAGGAUCAGAGUAAGUUCCUUAGGAGCAGAGAGGUCUGUGAGGAGUGCUGAAUAUCACUGUGCAGACUGUCCCAUGCAUGAGGGCAUCCUGCCAGGAUAACCUCAUGGUAGCUGGAAUCCAGCCCACACCCGGCCUGCCAAGGUGUGUGUGGCAGCAUCUGCUGGGGCAAGGGACACCUUUGUCAAUUUUACACAAAGAUACAUUUCCCUUUUUCUCAUGGC